CAUGCAAGUCGAGCGGUAGCACAGAGAGCUUGCUCUCGGGUGACGAGCGGCGGACGGGUGAGUAAUGUCUGGGAAACUGCCUGAUGGAGGGGGAUAACUACUGGAAACGGUAGCUAAUACCGCAUAACGUCGCAAGACCAAAGUGGGGGACCUUCGGGCCUCAUGCCAUCAGAUGUGCCCAGAUGGGAUUAGCUAGUAGGUGGGGUAACGGCUCACCUAGGCGACGAUCCCUAGCUGGUCUGAGAGGAUGACCAGCCACACUGGAACUGAGACACGGUCCAGACUCCUACGGGAGGCAGCAGUGGGGAAUAUUGCACAAUGGGCGCAAGCCUGAUGCAGCCAUGCCGCGUGUGUGAAGAAGGCCUUCGGGUUGUAAAGCACUUUCAGCGGGGAGGAAGGCGAUAAGGUUAAUAACCUUGUCGAUUGACGUUACCCGCAGAAGAAGCACCGGCUAACUCCGUGCCAGCAGCCGCGGUAAUACGGAGGGUGCAAGCGUUAAUCGGAAUUACUGGGCGUAAAGCGCACGCAGGCGGUCUGUCAAGUCGGAUGUGAAAUCCCCGGGCUCAACCUGGGAACUGCAUUCGAAACUGGCAGGCUAGAGUCUUGUAGAGGGGGGUAGAAUUCCAGGUGUAGCGGUGAAAUGCGUAGAGAUCUGGAGGAAUACCGGUGGCGAAGGCGGCCCCCUGGACAAAGACUGACGCUCAGGUGCGAAAGCGUGGGGGAGCAAACAGGAUUAGAUACCCUGGUAGUCCACGCCGUAAACGAUGUCGAUUUGGAGGUUGUGCCCUUGAGGCGUGGCUUCCGGAGCUAACGCGUUAAAUCGACCGCCUGGGGAGUACGGCCGCAAGGUUAAAACUCAAAUGAAUUGACGGGGGCCCGCACAAGCGGUGGAGCAUGUGGUUUAAUUCGAUGCAACGCGAAGAACCUUACCUGGUCUUGACAUCCACAGAACUUACCAGAGAUGGCUUGGUGCCUUCGGGAACUGUGAGACAGGUGCUGCAUGGCUGUCGUCAGCUCGUGUUGUGAAAUGUUGGGUUAAGUCCCGCAACGAGCGCAACCCUUAUCCUUUGUUGCCAGCGGUUAGGCCGGGAACUCAAAGGAGACUGCCAGUGAUAAACUGGAGGAAGGUGGGGAUGACGUCAAGUCAUCAUGGCCCUUACGACCAGGGCUACACACGUGCUACAAUGGCAUAUACAAAGAGAAGCGACCUCGCGAGAGCAAGCGGACCUCAUAAAGUAUGUCGUAGUCCGGAUUGGAGUCUGCAACUCGACUCCAUGAAGUCGGAAUCGCUAGUAAUCGUAGAUCAGAAUGCUACGGUGAAUACGUUCCCGGGCCUUGUACACACCGCCCGUCACACCAUGGGAGUGGGUUGCAAAAGAAGUAGGUAGCUUAACCUUCGGGAGGGCGC
rnacentral:rRNA from 1 species